UACGGAAGGCAGCAGUGGGGAAUAUUGCACAAUGGGCGAAAGCCUGAUGCAGCUAUGCCGCGUGUAUGAAGAAGGCCUUAGGGUUGUAAAGUACUUUUCAUCGGGGAGGAAAAAAACAAACUAAUAAUUUUAAUUUUCUUUGACGUUACCCGUAAAAACGAAAGCACCGGCUAACUCCGUGCCAGCAGCCGCGGUAAUACGGAGGGUGCUAGCGUUAAUCAGAAUUACUUGGGCGUAAAGAAGCACGUAGGUGGUUUUUUUAAGUUCAGAUGUGAAAUCCCUGGGCUUAACCUAGGAACUGCAUUUUGAAACUGAAAUACUAGAGUAUCGUAGAGGGAAGGUGAAUUCUAGGUGUAGCGGUGAAAUGCGUAGAUAUCUGGAGGAAUACCUGUGGCGAAAGCGGCCUCCUAAACGAAUCUGACACUGAGGGUGCGAAAGCGUGGGGAGCAAACAGGGAUUAGAUACC
rnacentral:rRNA from 1 species